UGAAUGCACUAACUGUAAGUCGCUCUGGAGAAGAGCGUCUGCUAAAUGAAUCAAA
rfam:Salmo salar isolate Sally breed double haploid chromosome ssa17, whole genome shotgun sequence.